GCGCGAAAACUUUACAAUGCUGGCAACAGCGAUAAGGGAACCUCGAGUGCCAGGUUACAAAUCUGGCUGUCGAGAUGCCUAAAAAGCAUUUCAUAGCAAGGGCCGGGCAAGACCGGUGCCAGCCGCCGCGGUAACACCGGCGGCUCGAGUGGUAACCGUUAUUAUUGGGUCUAAAGGGUCUGUAGCCGGCCGGAUAAGUCUCUUGAGAAAUCUGGCAGCUUAACUGUCGGGCUUUCAGGAGAUACUGUCUGGCUCGAGGCCGGGAGAGGUGAGAGGUACUUCAGGGGUAGGGGUGAAAUCUUGUAAUCCUUGAAGGACCACCAGUGGCGAAGGCGUCUCACCAGAACGGACCUGACGGCAAGGGACGAAAGCUAGGGGCACGAACCG
rnacentral:rRNA from 1 species